rnacentral:rRNA from 1 species
UGGGGAAUUUUGGACAAUGGACGCAAGUCUGAUCCAGCCAUGCCGCGUGCGGGAAGAAGGCCUUCGGGUUGUAAACCGCUUUUGUCAGGGAAGAAACGAGUUUCUCUAAUACAGAGACUUAAUGACGGUACCUGAAGAAUAAGCACCGGCUAACUUCGUGCCAGCAGCCGCGGUAAUACGAGGGGUGCAAGCGUUACUCGGAAUUACUGGGCGUAAAGCGUGCGUAGGUGGUUGGUUAAGUCUGCUGUGAAAGCCCUGGGCUCAACCUGGGACCUGCAUUUGUGACUGUAUAGCUAGAGUACGGUAGAGGGGGAUGGAAUUCCGCGUGUAGCAGUGAAAUGCGUAGAUAUGCGGAGGAACACCGAUGGCGAAGGCAAUCCCCUGGACCUGUACCGACGCUCAUGCACGAAAGCGUGGGGAGCAAACA